rnacentral:rRNA from 1 species
AUGGGGGAAACCCUGACACAGCAACGCCGCGUGANCGAAGAAGGCCUUCGGGUUGUAAAGCUCAAUAGUAUGGGAAGAUAAUGACGGUACCAUACGAAAGCCCCGGCUAACUACGUGCCAGCAGCCGCGGU